GCGGGCGGGGGGCUACGCGACGUGCGAGAACGUUCGACGCGAUUCCGGAUUCGGCGGUUUUCGCGGUUCUUGAAGAGUGUAGGGUAGAAAAAAAAAAAACCGAAGAGUACGACGAACUUCGUUCGGAAGGGAAAACCCCCGUAUGGUACGCGUGUUGCGUAGUUGGAAUUUGACGUUAUCAAAAAAUGUUUUUUUCCUCCAAAAUGU